rnacentral:rRNA from 1 species
AAUCAACGCUGGCGGCGUGCCUCAGACAUGCAAGUCGAACGAUUAAAGCUCUCUUCGGAGAGUGUAUAGAGUGGCGCACGGGUGAGUAACACGUAAGUAAUCUACCUUUGAGUGGGGAAUAACAAUCGGAAACGAUUGCUAAUACCGCAUAAUGCAGCGGCAUCGCAAAGAUGACAGUUGUUAAAGGAGCAAUCCCGCUUAAAGAGGAGCUUGCGGCAGGAUUAGCUAGUUGGUAAGGUAAUGGCUUACCAAGGCUACGAUCUGUAACCGGUCUAAGA